rnacentral:misc_RNA from 1 species
AUUUAAGAAAACAAAACUCAUCAUGCUGCAAUUCAGUACGAUUGGUAAUAAUGUAGCAAUUGCUAGUUAGGGCUACAAAAGUCUUUACAAAUCAAUAACAACAUUAUAUACAAAUUGUAUAUGAAAGCUUUUUUUUUAUCAUACUUGCUGAAGUUGUAUAACCAAAAUUGUUACCCCUACCCUUCUAUCCCCUCCAGAGGAAACACUAACAAGUGAAGGCAUAUAGAAAGGUACAAGCGUGGUAGAAAAGAUCAUGACCAAACAUGUCCUCCAUCCGACUUCUUUUGUUUCUUCUUUCUCUUCUUCUCUUGUUUCGUAUCUUCCCUUUCUUCAGUACGUUUAUCAUUGUGUGCGCGUAUCUCCAAUAAUUUAGUCUUUUUAUCUCGAAAUACAGCAUCCGAACGUGAAGACAUAAAUUGCGUGGAAUGAUCCAUUCCAGCAAGGUUGAAACCCAUAAUAUCUUUGCGUUCUUUGACUUUUGCAGCAAGACUGUCGCUUAGACGGGUAAUGAGGGGUCUGGCAGAGACAGUUGAAACCAAUUGGUGAUGAUGAAGUUGCACUAGCAGUACUGCAACCCUACCAACAAGCUCCACCUUAUCGAUUGCAGAGGCCCAACUCUCCAGGUACGACAAGAGAUCCAAAGCAUCAGAGAAGGGUAAGGCCAUUAAAGUUUGCUCCAGAUCAUUAGUAUGCACACUAGACAAUGCACGAAGAACAUAAUCAGAAGGAGAUAGCCCGAGCAUGAGAAUAUUAGACCUGAAUUCUGAAACUCUGCCCUUUGUUUUGUCCUCCUCAUGUUCAGUGAUUCGCUUCAGUUCUGCAUCUGCCAUGUCCAGUGCUUCAAUGAUCGAAUCUGUGGCAGUAAGAGUUUCUUGAGUCUUUUUCCCUGCUAAUGCCACAGCUCCCUCCUCUGGAAUUUCUUCCUUUGAUCCAUACUUAUUCUCAAAUGCAUUGUCAAUGUCUGAUUCAAACAUCUCUUCCAAUCUCUUUUCUUUCUCUUCCUCAAUAAAAAAGGGCUCAUCAGUACGAUCCCAACGGCGUAUUGACCGAUCAUGAGAUCCAGUAACGAUGAAAUCCCCACGGUUGCUCAUAGCAAGACACCAAACUUCCGCGUGGUGACCUUCCAGGGUUAAAAGUAACUCAAACUUAUCAGCAUCCCAGUACUUCACCAAGCGAUCUUUCCCCACUGUGAAAAAGUAAUGGGUGUUGCGCACAAACUUAACUCCCAUAACACUAUCAGCAUGCGCAAAAAGUGACUUGUGACAGUCCCCGAAAUCUAAACCCCAAAUCUUCACAUUUUUGUCCGCAGAGCCGCUGACAAGCAGAUCACCAUCUGAAGAAAUAUCCAUGCACAAUACAGGCAACUUAUGUCCAUAGAGUGAUAGGAAGAACUUGAGUGAAUCCAUAUAGUAGACCUUUACUGUGCUAUCCAACAAGGCAACAGCAAUAAAUUUACCAUCAGGGCUCGCAGCAACAACUAGAACAUCAUCAUUCAUUUUUAAACUACUUGUCGGAGAUGCAGUUAAAUGCUUAGACCCUUCACCAGACUUCUGCACCAUUUGAAAUUCCCAGAAUUUAAUGUCGUGGUCGGCACUGCCAGUUAGAAAACCUGUCCCAUCUGGAGUCAAGGCAAUUGACUGAACAGAUCCACCAUGGGCUUCCACUACGUCCACACAAGUACCACUUCUAACGUCAAUAAAUUCUAGGGUCCCACCCUUUGUACCAACAACAGCAUACUUGUUGCCCGGAACAAAGAGUCCACAAAGACCAUAUCCUGAAUCAAUUGUGCGGAGGCAAGAACCAGUAGUAGGGUUCCAUAUUUUAAUUGCACUGUGACUAGUUGACAUCAAUAGAGUGUUAUCUGAGCUGAGAGUUACACUUCUGACAUCAGCACGAUGCCCCUGAAGCUCAAUAGCACUCAAUUUACUAGUUGAAUUGCUUUCUAUUGCAUGAAAUUCCAACAAAUUAUUAUUCAAAGACAAAGCUAAGGUAGCCAGUAAAUUCUUUGAAGCAACUGGGGAGAAAGAAAUUGAGGAGAUCUUCUUUCCAGCCCGUAGGGUCUGAUGAAGCUUGAAGA